rnacentral:lncRNA from 1 species
AAACAACAUUUGAGAGUGCGCUGACCCUGGUGCUAGAGGGGGUACGCAGCUGGAGGUAGAACAUUUGAAGGGGUACGGGACUAUAAAAACUUUGUCAACCACUGUCUUAGAAAAACAAAUAGGCUAUACUCUGCUUGAAGGCUACUUGACAAAAACACCUUGGGCCAACUGUUGGCAUGAGGGGCCAACUGUUGGCAUGAGGGGCCAACUGUUGGCAUGCGGGGCCAACUGUUGGCAUGCGGGGCCAACUGUUGGCAUGAGGGGCCUAGUUUCCAGGUAUGGUGACACCACUGCUACAGUAGCUCUGAUGAGACAUGUUAAGGAGGCAGUGGGCUGUCAUUACCACUGAUGACAGAGGUAAUGACACCCAGCCCUAUACCCCAGUCCAGGCCCUAUACCCAAGCAUAUAGCCCAGACCAUAGUCCCCAGCCCAGGCCCUACAGCCCAGGCCCUACAGCCCAGGCCCUAUAGCCCAGGCCCUAUAGCCCAGGCCCUAUAGCCCAGGCCCUAUAGCCCAGGCCCUAUAGCCCAGGCCCUAUAGCCCAGGCCCUAUAGCCCAGGCCCAGACUGUUUAAAUCAUCCAAAGCCAAACAAUAUUUUUGAUAAUGGGCCUUCCACCUAUCAGCCCAGACCACACAGCAGCAUCCCAGGACCAACCAGGGAGAGCAACAUGGCAGGCUGCUCUCCUCUCCUGAAUAUCAACAGCAUCACCAUCAAUAGCGGCUGUAUCGGGUUACCAGGCAUCACAGGGCUGGCUUUACAUGAAAGACUACACGCAGAUCAGAAGCCAGGGAUUAACGCUGUGUGUGUGGUGGGGGAGUGUGUGUGUGUGGGGGAGUGUGUGUGUGUGUGAGUGUGUGGGGGGGGGGAGAGUAUGUUCACUAUUGACCAAAACAGGUGCAGAAGACAAGGAAACAACCAGUAGUCUGAACAGGAAAUCCAACCAUGUCUGUUCAUCCGCUCCAGUUAGACCUGACCCUCUGUUCAUCCGCUACAGUUGGACCUGACCUCUGUUCAUCCGCUCCAGUUGGACCUGACCUCUGUUCAUCCGCUACAGUUAGACCUGACCUCUGUUCAUCCGCUACAGUUAGACCUGACCUCUGUUCAUCCGCUACAGUUGGACCUGACCCUCUGUUCAUCCGCUACAGUUGGACCUGACCUCUGUUCAUCCGCUACAGUUGGACCUGACCUCUGUUCAUCCGCUCCAGUUAGACCUGACCUCUGUUCAUCCGCUACAGUUAGACCUGACCUCUGUUCAUCCGCUACAGUUGGACCUGACUCUCUGUUCAUCCGCUACAGUUGGACCUGACUCUCUGUUCAUCCGCUACAGUUGGACCUGACUCUCUGUUCAUCCGCUACAGUUGGACCUGACCUCUGUUCAUCCGCUACAGUUGGACCUGACCUCUGUUCAUCCGCUACAGUUGGACCUGACCUCUGUUCAUCCGCUACAGUUGGACCUGACCUCUGUUCAUCCGCUACAGUUAGACCUGACCCUCUGUUCAUCCGCUACAGUUAGACCUGACCUCUGUUCAUCCGCUACAGUUAGACCUGACCUCUGUUCAUCCGCUACAGUUAGACCUGACCUCUGUUCAUCCGC